rnacentral:rRNA from 1 species
GCCGUCGUUGGUGCUAGCCAGCUGUUGGUUGUACGGAAUUNUAGGACUGGCUCGUUGAAAUACCGGUCAGCGAUGCUACUGCUUUGGGUACUUUCAGGACCCGUCUUGAAACACGGACCAAGGAGUCUAACAUGUACGCGAGUCAUUGGGAUUUUUAUAAAUUAAACCUAAAGGCGUAAUGAAAGUAAAGGUCGGCCUUGUGUCGAUUGAGGGAGGAUGGGCUAUGUUACGAGAUAGCUCCGCACUCCCGGGGCGUCUCAUUCUCAUGCGAGAA